ACACUCCUGCGGGAGGCAGCAGUGGGGAAUAUUGGACAAUGGGCGCAAGCCUGAUCCAGCCAUGCCGCGUGAGUGAUGAAGGCCCUAGGGUUGUAAAGCUCUUUCACCGGUGAAGAUAAUGACGGUAACCGGAGAAGAAGCCCCGGCUAACUUCGUGCCAGCAGCCGCGGUAAUACGAAGGGGGCUAGCGUUGUUCGGAUUUACUGGGCGUAAAGCGCACGUAGGCGGACUAUUAAGUCAGGGGUGAAAUCCCGGGGCUCAACCCCGGAACUGCCUUUGAUACUGGUAGUCUUGAGUUCGAGAGAGGUGAAUGGAAUUCCGAGUGUAGAGGUGAAAUUCGUAGAUAUUCGGAGGAACACCAGUGGCGAAGGCGGCUCACUGGCUCGAUACUGACGCUGAGGUGCGAAAGCGUGGGGAGCAAACAGGAUUAGAAACCCCAGUAGUCCCAUGA
rnacentral:rRNA from 1 species